GAAAUAUCAAAAUACAAAGUAAGAAAAAUAAAUUGUAGUAAGAUUAAAAAGGUAAACAAAAGAAACCCUAUGGACAAAGGCAAAAGGUGAUAAAACAGGAACAAGACCAGAGGAUAGUAAAGCACUGAAGGAUGAAAAUCUCUCUCCUGUCAUCUGCCAGGAUGUUGAAAACCUCCAGAAAUUUGUGAAGGAACAGAAACAGGUACAAGAAGAAAUUAGUAGAAUGUCUUCAAAAGCCAUGCUUAAAGUACAAGAAGAUAUUAAAGCUCUUAAGCAGCUUCUGUCACUGGCUGCCAGUGGAUUACAGAGGAACACCCUCAAUACUGACAAGUUGAAAACAGAAACUGCUCAGGUCAACUAACUUAAAGUAAUUUUAUUGUAGGGUUUUGUU